rnacentral:rRNA from 1 species
AGAGAAUAGAUACCCAGGUAGUCCACGCCGUAAACGAUGGAUGCUAGCUGUUAUCAGUAUCGACCUGGUAGUAGCGAAGCUAACGCGUUAAGCAUCCCGCCUGUGGAGUACGAGCGCAAGCUUAAAACAUAAAGGAAUUGACGGGGACCCGCACAAGCGGUGGAGCGUGUUGUUUAAUUCGAUGGUAAGCGAAGAACCUUACCCAGGCUUGACAUCCUGCCAAGUUCUCCGAAAGGAGAGUGUGCCUUCGGGCCGCAGUGACAGGUGAUGCAUGGCCGUCGUCAGCUCGUGUCGUGAGAUGUUUGGUUAAGUCCAUCAACGAGCGCAACCCUUAUAGUUAGUUGUAUUUCUCUAGCUAGACUGCCCUGGUAACAGGGAGGAAGGGGGGGUAGUGAUGUCAGGUCAGUAUUUCCCUUACGUCUGGGGCUACAAACACGCUACAAUGGCCG